rnacentral:rRNA from 1 species
GUGGUGUUCAGGUCAGCUCGCAAAGAUACUGCUCCACCCUAAGUCCUGUAAUGAGUAAGGUUACUGGAGCGGCCCAUAGAGGGUGAAAGGCCCGUGGGGGUGGAGUGCAGAUGAGUCAGUGUCUCUAUGAGUGGACCUUGGAGUCGGGUUGUUUGUGAAUGCAGCCCAAAGUGGGUGGUAAACUCCAUCCAAGGCUAAAUACUGGCACGAGUCCGAUAGCGAACAAGUACCGUGAGGGAAAGUUGAAAAGUACUUUGAAGAGAGAGUAAACAGUGCGUGAAACCGCUCAAAGGUAAACAGGUGGAGUUGAACUGCAAGCUCCGGGAAUUCAACUGGUGAGUGUGAUGUGAGCUUGGCACGUAGUUGUACAUCUGGGUCUGCUUAGCUGCAGGUCUCUGCCUCUGGUGGAGAUGCGCGAAUCACUUGUCAUGUGUUGUGCGCCCGGGCUGUGUCGAACUGGCUCGCCAGUGCACUUUCUCGGAGUAGUCACCACGACCGGCGUUGUUGCCUUGCUGUUGCGGUUAAACCGGCCUUGUAGGGUCCUUGUGGCUUUGCUUGGUCGGGAUGGCAGGUAGCCCGUUGUGUACUUUUGUGCGCCUCGGGUGUAAUAGCUGACUGCAUCGGUUUUGUGCGGUACGUCGGAGACGGCGGCUUGUUGUGCGUGCGUGCGUACCUUGUGCGCUGGCGGCGCUGGGUCCGGUUGCCAUGUUGCUUGUGAAUGC